ACCGCACCGCACACUCAGCGGAGGCGCGCGCCCCGCGGCGACCGGAGGAUGUCCCCUAAACUGCUCCAAUUCACAAACAAAGGUGUUCAAAGGCAAGAAGGUAUUGUCACCAGGGAAGCCUAUGAACAGAAAGAACUCCUGAGACUACACCUGCUUUUAAUUUGGUGUCAGUAGGAAUGAUGGAGAUGAAAACCUCAUCAAGACCAGCAUGGAUUUGGGAAUCACCAAUAGAGUCAACCCCUCACUCUAAGAUGAGGAAACUAAGGCCCCCUAAGGUGAACUGUGAACUGAAUUGAUGAAAGCUGGGAUCAAAGCCCAGAUCUCUGGGCUCCUUGUCUGGUAUUUAUCUUCCCUGCUUUCUUCAUAAUUAAAUUCAGUGUAAUGACCCAGACAUAGAGCAAGAUCCUGGAGUGUCUUCUUAAUCAUCAAAUAUUGUCCUCUAUAAAGUUAUAAUGUUUAGUG
rnacentral:antisense_RNA from 1 species